rnacentral:tRNA from 1 species
ACUCGCUUGGUGUAAUUUGGUAAACACGGUAGACUUAAAAUCUACUCCUGACACAGGGUAUUGGUUCAAGUCCGAUAGCGAGUA